rnacentral:rRNA from 1 species
CAGUCGCCGCGGGAAAACGAAGGGUGCAAGCGUUACUCGGAAUUACUGGGCGUAAAGCGUGCGUAGGUGGUGGUUUAAGUCCGUUGUGAAAGCCCUGGGCUCAACCUGGGAAUUGCAGUGGAUACUGGGUCACUAGAGUGUGGUAGAGGAUAGUGGAAUUUCCGGUGUAGCAGUGAAAUGCGUAGAGAUCGGAAGGAACAUCUGUGGCGAAGGCGACUAUCUGGGCCAACACUGACACUGAGGCACGAAAGCGUGGGGAGCAAACAGGAUUAGAUACCCCCGUAGUCCCUGUCUCUUAUAU